CCCCGGUAAACGGCGGCCGUAACUAUAACGGUCCUAAGGUAGCGAAAUUCCUUGUCGGGUAAGUUCCGACCUGCACGAAUGGCGUAAUGAUGGCCAGGCUGUCUCCACCCGAGACUCAGUGAAAUUGAACUCGCUGUGAAGAUGCAGUGUACCCGCGGCAAGACGGAAAGACCCCGUGAACCUUUACUAUAGCUUGACACUGAACAUUGAGCCUUGAUGUGUAGGAUAGGUGGGAGGCUUUGAAGUGUGGACGCCAGUCUGCAUGGAGCCGACCUUGAAAUACCACCCUUUAAUGUUUGAUGUUCUAACGUGGACCCGUAAUCCGGGUUGCGGACAGUGUCUGGUGGGUAGUUUGACUGGGGCGGUCUCCUCCUAAAGAGUAACGGAGGAGCACGAAGGUUGGCUAAUCCUGGUCGGACAUCAGGAGGUUAGUGCAAUGGCAUAAGCCAGCUUGACUGCGAGCGUGACGGCGCGAGCAGGUGCGAAAGCAGGUCAUAGUGAUCCGGUGGUUCUGAAUGGAAGGGCCAUCGCUCAACGGAUAAAAGGUACUCCGGGGAUAACAGGCUGAUACCGCCCAAGAGUUCAUAUCGACGGCGGUGUUUGGCACCUCGAUGUCGGCUCAUCACAUCCUGGGGCUGAAGUAGGUCCCAAGGGUAUGGCUGUUCGCCAUUUAAAGUGGUACGCGAGCUGGGUUUAGAACGUCGUGAGACAGUUCGGUCCCUAUCUGCCGUGGGCGCUGGAGAACUGAGGGGGGCUGCUCCUAGUACGAGAGGACCGGAGUGGACGCAUCACUGGUGUUCGGGUUGUCAUGCCAAUGGCACUGCCCGGUAGCUAAAUGCGGAAGAGAUAAGUGCUGAAAGCAUCUAAGCACGAAACUUGCCCCGAGAUGAGUUCUCCCUGAGACUUAGA
rnacentral:rRNA from 5 species